UCACGGCCGUCCGCAAAUGCGUCACUCGCAUGCGUCGCACGUUUCAUGUACUGCCGCUCCGAGAAGGCUCCGGAUGCACCUCCCGCAUGCGGGGCGCGCGUUUCCGGUGCCGGGUCGGGGGUUGUAUCCUUCGUUCGAAAGACGGAUUCACCUUCCUUUGCAGGAGCAAACCGUUGGAUCAUCCACUUCUUGCUUCACGAUCGGUGCCAAUGGAUUAACGACGAGUCAGGAGCGCUUGGAGAGCUGUGUGGUUGGUGAUCCAACGGUGGAUUCGCGCGAAGGAGCUGAAUCCUCCUUCCACGCGAAAGAUACUCCGCGGUUCUCCGGUGUCACCGCCGCCCACCUCGGUGAACGGUGGACCCUUUCUACCCUCACCCGGCGCAGGGGGAGUAACCAACGAGACGCCCUCAACCCAACAGGCCGACGCAUCCCUCCCGGCCCACGUCAAGGCAGCGAGUCGAAAAGCCGUGAGCGAUGGCGAACUCGAUUCUGACCCCCGAGCAAAGGUACGCCGCGGGAGGGCUGCUCGCUAUCGCCCUCCGCCAUGCGCAGCUCCUCCAAAUCCUCCCCUUCGACUCCUCCUCCUUCUCCAUCGCCAGCAGCGCCGCCGACGGCGGCGGCGGCAGCAGCAGCAACACCGACGAGGACGACAAAUCCUCCAAUCCCCAUCAUCAUCGCCAUCAUCACUGGAUACACAAGUCUGGCGGCCUCCCUCGCCCCGUUUUCGAAUUGCUGGACAUUGAAUCUAUGGACUGGCCUGGAGUGCGUGAAAUGGUAAACCACAUGAAGGGCGAUGGCAAGGAAGGGGAUAGCCACUCCUCCCAGCUCUGGACCCAUGAGUCCCAUGGCCUUCUUCAUCCCGUUUUCCGGUUCUUGGAGAUUGAUUCCAAGGCCUGGCCCGAAUUGGAGAAAGUGGCUGUUUCUACUCCAGCCAGGCAACAAGUUGUGAUGUUCCUGAAGACAAUCUUUGAUGACAAGGAAGCAUCCUCAGAAAGAUCAAAUCAAGAAUUUGCUUUGACAGAAGCAGUUGAUUCUAUGGUAAAGGAUUUGCAAACUUCUUCUGCCUCAGCUGAGGCAAUAAAGAAGCACAAGCACAAAGAUAAAUAUCAUGAAAGAAUCACUUCUGAUGUGAUGUGUAGAAUUUCUGAAGUGACAUCUAAGCCAUAUGAAAUCUUUGAAAUGGCAAAGCUGAAAUCCUUAUUCAGUAGGGAGGAGGCACAGGGUCAAUCUAACAAUGAGCAUGGUGAAAAAUCUUUCCUGGAGGACAUUUUAGCCAAUUAUCAGCAGAAAGUGGUAGUUCUAUAUGAACUUCUUUCUGCCUGUGUGGCUGAUAUACCUCAAGAAAGUGAGAAACCUUCACAACACAGGAAGGGCUAUGAUGCCCGUCACCGUGUUGCUCUACAAUUGUUGGCAAAGUGGCUCGAUGUUGAGUGGAUAAAAAUGGAAGCUAUGGAGAUCCUGGUUGCUUGCUCUGCAAUGACUGCAGUGAAAGAAGUACAGUCGGAAGAAUGUGAAUCAACAGAUAGCAGCUGGUCUGGAUGGAAACGUAGUGGCAUCAUUGGUGCAGCUGCACUUACUGGAGGAACGUUGUUGGCAAUUUCUGGAGGUCUAGCUGCUCCAGCAAUUGCUUCAGGAUUUAGUGCUCUAGCUCCCACACUGGGAACCUUGGUCCCUGCUAUUGGAGCAAGUGGCUUUGCUGCAGCAGUGAGUGCUGCAGGAUCAGCUGCUGGUUCUAUGGCUGUUGCAGCAUCCUUUGGAGUUGCUGGAGCUGGACUUUCAGGUAGCAAAAUGGCUAGAAGAAUUGCAGACAUCGAAGAGUUCGAAUUCAUACCCAUGGGAGAAAAUCGUAACCAGGGUCGUCUAGCAGUCGAUAUCUUUGUUUCUGGUUUUGUAUUUGAAGAGGAAGAUUUUAGACGACCCUGGGAAGAAAUUGAAGAUAACUUGGAGAGGUUUGCUCUUCAAUGGGAGUCAAAGCAUUUAAUUGCAGUGAGUACUGCAAUCCAAAACUGGCUUACAGCAAAAAUUACAACAGAAUUGGUGAAACAAGGUGCAAUGAUGACCGUCUUAAGCACACUGGUUUCUGCAUUAGCCUGGCCAACUACAUUACUUUCAGCUACUGAUUUCAUAGAUAGCAAAUGGUUGAUCGCGAUUGAUAGAUCAGAUAAAGCAGGAAAGCUUCUUGCUGAUGCAUUGUUGAAGGGGUUGCAGGGAAACAGGCCAGUGACCCUUGUUGGCUUUUCUUUAGGAGCACGAGUUAUCUUUAAAUGUUUAGAACAUUUGGCUAAAUCAGUAAACAAUGAGGGACUUGUAGAAAAGGUUGUUCUUCUUGGUGCGCCAAUUUCCCUCAAAGGAGAAGAAUGGGAGAGUGUUAGAAAGGACCAAGUUAUGAGGAGGAUGAUUGGACAUGCUAAGGUGAGACACGGGCUCUACUAUCAUGAAUUACCUAGCGGUCAAGUGAACAAUGGGAACAAAUCAUCCCUCUCGCUUUUGUCCAGCAACUCCCAUACCAAUGGUUGCUGGGAGAUUUGUAAAUAUUUUCUCCACAAAUGACUGGAUACUUGGAAUUACUUUCCGUGCAAGCUUGAUGACCCAAGGUUUGGCAGGAAUUCAAGCCAUCAAUGUGCCUGGAAUUGAAAAUGUUGAUGUUACUGACAUCAUUGAUGGUCACUCCUCAUAUCUUUGGGCUGCAAGUGGAAUCCUGCAAAAGUUUGAUGCUUGAUGCCCUAUUUACUAGUAUCCUGCCAAAAAUUAAAUUAAGUUUCUUAGCUCUUUGCAGCUUUUGUUGUUCAAAAACAUGAAAGAUGAAGAUGUGCCAUUUCUGGACAAAGUUGCAUGUCCAGAUAUUUCUGGUGAAAGUCUUGUUUUUUUUUUAUUCAAAUAAAUAAAAAUAGUUUUUGAAAUAAUCACUUGAAUUUACAUAAUUCAAAUGAUUAUUUCAGUACAUUCUUAGACAGUUCUGUAAGAAAGUUCACAUUUACAUGGGUAUAUUGUAUAACUAUAAGGCUUUCCAGUUAAUUAUAACUUCAUUUUUUGA